rnacentral:rRNA from 1 species
UACAGGAGUGAAACAAAACUAAAGAAAAAGAUUAAAGAAUAACGUUUGACAAAAUGAUUAAUGCAAAAUGUUAAAGAAAAGAAUUGAUACAACAAUUUGAUUACUUAAUCAAUUAGUAGUAUCCCUAGAGUCCACUCCUUCCCCAUACUACUAAUGAAAGAGAAAAUGUAAAGACUACCAUUAAAGCAGCCCAAGCGAGACUUA